AGAGUUUGAUCCUGGCUCAGAAUGAACGUUGGCGGCGUGCCUAACACAUGCAAGUCGAGCGCGAAAGUCCUUCGGGAUAAGUAAAGCGGCGGACGGGUGAGCAACACGUGAGAACCUACUCUUUAGUGAAGAAUACCCUCGAGAAAUUGGGGUUAAUACUGCAUACGUCCCUACGGGGAGAAAGGUGGCUUUAUGCUGCCGCUGAAGAAUGGGCUUGCGUACUAUUAGCUAGUUGGUGAGGUAAUGGCUCACCAAGGCAAUGAUGGUUAACCGGCCUGAGAGGGUGGACGGUCACAUUGGAACUGAGAAACGGUCCAGACUCCUACGGGAGGCAGCAGUGAGGAAUAUUGCGCAAUGGGCGAAAGCCUGACGCAGUGACGCCGCGUGGAGGAUGAAGGUCUUCGGAUUGUAAACUCCUGUUAAGCGGGAAGAAAAGCUUAUUUCUAAUACAGAUAAGUAUGACGGUACCGCUAGAGAAAGCACCGGCUAACUUCGUGCCAGCAGCCGCGGUAAUACGAGGGGUGCAAACGUUAUUCGGAAUGACUGGGCGUAAAGGGCGCGUAGACGGCGCAUUAAGUUUGCUGUUAAAUUCUCCAGCCUAACUGGAGGUCUGCGGUAAAUACUGGUGUGCUAGAGGGUGGAAGAGAGAAGUGGAAUUCUCGGAGUAGCGGUAAAAUGCGUAGAUCUCGAGAGGAACACCGAUGGCGAAAGCAGCUUCUUGGUCCAUACCUGACGUUGAGGCGCGAAAGCGUGGGGAGCAAACAGGAUUAGAUACCCUGGUAGUCCACGCUGUAAACGAUAAUCACUAGACGUCAGUCCGGCUCUGCUGGAUUGGUGUCGAAGCUAACGCGUUAAGUGAUUCGCCUGGGGAGUACGGUCGCAAGAUUAAAACUCAAAGGAAUUGACGGGGGUCCGAACAAGCGGUGGAACAUGUGGUUUAAUUCGACACUACGCGAGAAACCUUACCUGGGCUUGACAUGUAUUUGACCGCUGUAGAAAUACGGUUUUCUAGGCUUCGGUCUAGACAGAUACACAGGUGCUGCAUGGCUGCCGUCAGCUCGUGUCGUGAGAUGUUUGGUUAAGUCCUCUAACGAGCGCAACCCUUGCAAUCAGUUGCUACUUGUCUUGAGACAAGGCACUCUGAUUGGACUGCCUGGGAAACCAGGAGGAAGGUGGGGAUGACGUCAAGUCAUCAUGGCCCUUAUGUCCAGGGCUACACACGUGUUACAAUGGUUGGUACAAAGGGCUGCAAGACUGCAAAGUGGAGCUAAUCCCUAAAGCCAAUCUAAGUUCGGAUUGAGGUCUGCAACUCGACCUCAUGAAGUUGAAAUCGCUAGUAAUCGCGCAUCAGAACGGCGCGGUGAAUACGUUCACGGGCCUUGUACACACCGCCCGUCACACCACGAAAGCUGUUUGUACCCAAAAUCAUCUUAGCUAACCUGAAAAGGAUGCGGGUGCUUAAGGUAUGAGGAGUGAUUGGGGUGAAGUCGUAACAAGGUAGCCG
rnacentral:rRNA from 1 species